GCGACAGUCAGGAUUUAAAAAGCACACCAACCUCCUAGUCCCUCCUUUUCGCUUCUGCUCUUUCGUCUUGGACGUUGUCAGACGGGAAACUUUACAUUUAUCAGGAAGCAUGAAUCUACUGGAUAUAUCAAUUCAUUCAUUUCUUAGGCUAGCUGCCUCUCAAGGCUUUGUGUUUCCUGCAAGAUGAGGAAGUUGGAGUAAAGAUCGAAGCAAGUGUUAACCUGGAUGAAAUUAAUCCGGAAAUGUGGCGCUCUCUCUGAAAAAUGGAGCGUUUGAAGUGGACCUUGCUUUGUGUUUCCUGCAAGAUGAGGAAGUUGGAGUAAAGAUCGAAGCAAGUGUUAACCUGGAUGAGAUUAAUCCGGAAAUGUGGCGCUCUCUCUGAAAAAUGGAGCGUUUGAAGUGGACCUUGUGACCCUGAACACAUGGAUCAGAGUGAAAGGCUCAGGCACAAGGCCUGCAGCACUUCAGCCAUGAGACUGCAAGCUCAAUGUGGUGGUGGAGCAAAUGAACAUUGGAGCAAAGAGCUGACUACUCCCUUCUGACAUCAUUAAAACCUGCUUGCAUGGAAUCACUUUGCUCAUGCUAAUGUACAAUCCUUUAAGUUCUUUUGAGAAGCAGUGUUUUUAUUUAUUAAACUCUUGUAAGAAACAUCUACGAUGAUAAAAUAAAGGAUAAAAAUUUAA